rnacentral:rRNA from 1 species
UGUUUCGGCUAGGGGGCCAUCCCGGCUUACCAACCCGAUGCAAACUGCGAAUACCGGAGAAUGUUAUCACGGGAGACACACGGCGGGUGCUAACGUCCGUCGUGAAGAGGGAAACAACCCAGACCGCCAGCUAAGGUCCCAAAGUCAUGGUUAAGUGGGAAACGAUGUGGGAAGGCCCAGACAGCCAGGAUGUUGGCUUAGAAGCAGCCAUCAUUUAAAGAAAGCGUAAUAGCUCACUGGUCGAGUCGGCCUGCGCGGAAGAUGUAACGGGGCUAAACCAUGCACCGAAGCUGCGGCAGCGACACUUUAGUGUUGUUGGGUAGGGGAGCGUUCUGUAAGCCGUUGAAGGUGUCCUGUGAGGGGUGCUGGAGGUAUCAGAAGUGCGAAUGCUGACAUAAGUAACGAUAAAGCGGGUGAAAAGCCCGCUCGCCGGAAGACCAAGGGUUCCUGUCCAACGUUAAUCGGGGCAGGGUGAGUCGACCCCUAAGGCGAGGCCGAAAGGCGUAGUCGAUGGGAAACGGGUUAAUAUUCCCGUACUUGGUGUUACUGCGAAGGGGGGACGGAGAAGGCUAUGUUGGCCGGGCGACGGUUGUCCCGGUUUAAGCGUGUAGGUGUGUGUUCCAGGCAAAUCCGGUUCACUUUAACACUGAGGCGUGAUGACGAGGCACCACGGUGCUGAAGCAACAAAUGCCCUGCUUCCAGGAAAAGCCUCUAAGCAUCAGGUAACAUCAAAUCGUACCCCAAACCGACACAGGUGGUCAGGUAGAGAAUACCAAGGCGCUUGAGAGAACUCGGGUGAAGGAACUAGGCAAAAUGGUGCCGUAACUUCGGGAGAAGGCACGCUGACACG